rnacentral:rRNA from 1 species
GAUGAACGCUGGCGGCGUGCCUAAUACAUGCAAGUCGAGCGAACAGACGAGGAGCUUGCUCCUCUGACGUUAGCGGCGGACGGGUGAGUAACACGUGGAUAACCUACCUAUAAGACUGGGAUAACUUCGGGAAACCGGAGCUAAUACCGGAUAAUAUAUUGAACCGCAUGGUUCAAUAGUGAAAGACGGUUUUGCUGUCACUUAUAGAUGGAUCCGCGCCGCAUUAGCUAGUUGGUAAGGUAACGGCUUACCAAGGCAACGAUGCGUAGCCGACCUGAGAGGGUGAUCGGCCACACUGGAACUGAGACACGGUCCAGACUCGUAUGGGAGGCAGCAGUAGGGAAUCUUCCGCAAUGGGCGAAAGACUGACGGAGCAACGCCGCGUGAGUGAUGAAGGUCUUCGGAUCGUAAAACUCUGUUAUUAGGGAAGAACAAAUGUGUAAGUAACUAUGCACGUCUUGACGGUACCUAAUCAGAAAGCCACGGCUAACUACGU